rnacentral:lncRNA from 1 species
GCUUAGAGAUUGAUUCACAGUCUUCAUUUGAUAUUACUAUGUGGGAAGAAGCUAUAGGAGGUAUUUCUAAGAACAAAGUGUAUACAUUUGGGUUGAAUGCACAUUCAUCCAGCGUACUUACAAGAACUCCUACAUCAUGCUUUACUUCUCAACCAGAUGGUCCUUUAGGAAGUACAUCUAGUGCCUAUUCUACUGCUCCAGAAGCUAUGGAGAUGACACAGGAGCAUAUUGUAAUGGCUUUGAUGAACCUUUAACAUAAGGAGAUGCUGCGAUCUCUUAUUUCUAGUCUUGAUUUUAUAUCAUCUAAGCAGUUAUCAUCUCCCUCACAAGAAGGAACCCAGUCAGAUAUCCCUCCAACCGAUCUUCUAUGUGAUUGAUUCUUGGAUAUGAAUUUAUUAAAUACAAUCUUAUAUUUAAUGCUAGAAACUAAUUGAAGUUGAAUUAUUUAAUAUUUUGAUGUAUUGUGUUUGUUUAUGGAUUGAAACUUUGAUGGAUACUAAAUUUAAAUUUUGUGGAAGCUUUAUGAAAAUGUGUUUGCUCAAAUGUAUUAAUGUGUUAUUUUAUGUUAUAAAAAAUUAGGUUAUAGUUGAUAUAUUGAGAAUUAGGA